GACGAACGCUGGCGGCGUGCUUAACACAUGCAAGUCGAACGAUGAAGCCGGAGCUUGCUCUGGUGAAUUAGUGGCGAACGGGUGAGUAACACGUGAGUAACCUGCCCUUGACUCCGGGAUAACUGCGGGAAACUGUAGCUAAUACCGGAUACGACCCUCGGAGGCAUCUCCUGGGGGUGGAAAGAAUUUCGGUCAAGGAUGGGCUCGCGGCCUAUCAGCUAGUUGGUGAGGUAAAGGCUCACCAAGGCGACGACGGGUAGCCGGCCUGAGAGGGUGACCGGCCACACUGGGACUGAGACACGGCCCAGACUCCUACGGGAGGCAGCAGUGGGGAAUAUUGCACAAUGGGCGCAAGCCUGAUGCAGCAACGCCGCGUGAGGGAUGACGGCCUUCGGGUUGUAAACCUCUUUUAGCAGGGAAGAAGCGAAAGUGACGGUACCUGCAGAAAAAGCACCGGCUAACUACGUGCCAGCCGCCGCAGUAA
rnacentral:rRNA from 1 species